rnacentral:snoRNA from 1 species
CUGCAGCCAAGCAAGCUGACCGUGUUCCUCUCCUCACAGGGGCCCGGUGUGCAAUGGCUGCAAACAGCAGCUUCCUUGGUAGUGUACACAGCCUGUUUCUUGUAUUGUUUGCUCUAAGAGACCUUGGAGACAGCC